rnacentral:lncRNA from 1 species
CGCAGACUCUAGGGGAGGGAGCGAUGUUCUCUCCUAUUGUUCCAGCACCUCCGAAGCUGUCUGCAAGAUUCAAUGAAGAUUCAGGCCUGCAUUGAAAUCCCAGCUCACUCCUGAUUAGUCACCUGCCUCAGGAGGCUAUAGCCCUCAGGGGGCUCUUGUCCUGGACUGACUUUGAGAAACUGAGGAAAGCUAUGGACACUUCUCCCAGGGCACCUCCAGAUAAUGACUGACUGACUUUGAGCACAGAAGGCCAGCCGUCAGUGGUAAAUUCACCCACCAGAGGUCACCAUGGGAACAAGCUGAAUCCAGACUCUGAGACCACAUCCUUGCUGAGCCUCUUUCCCUGCCCAGUCCUGCUUCCUGAAUGCCCUUUCUUGUUAGAGUCCUCCACCAAUAAAUCAUUUACAAUUUGAGUGGCUGUCUUGGGCUCUGCCUUACAAAAUCUGAGCUAAGACAGAUGGAGAAAAUCACAUAAUGAUGCUGAAUUGUCUCUAAACAUUUGACCACUUUCCUUAAGAAGUUUCUCGAAUCCCUGGCCUAAUAUAUUUCUCGAAUCAAUUUACUCAUCACAUCUCGUUUCAACUCUCC